ACUGAAUAGAUACCCUGGUAGUCCUGGCCCUAAACGAUGAAUGCUUGGUGUGGCGGGUAUCGAUCCCUGCCGUGCCGAAAGCUAACGCAUUAAGCAUUCCGCCUGGGGAGUACGGUCGCAAGGUUGAAACUCAAAGGAAUUGACGGGGGCCCGCACAAGCGGUGGAGCAUGUGGUUUAAUUCGACGCAACGCGAAGAACCUUACCCAGGCUUGAACUGCAGAUGACAUCCUACGAAAGUAGGCUUCCGCAAGGACGUCUGUAGAGGUGCUGCAUGGCUGUCGUCAGCUCGUGUCGUGAGAUGUUGGGUUAAGUCCCGCAACGAGCGCAACCCUUGCCUUCUGUUGCCAUCAGGUUAAGCUGGGCACUCUGAAGAGACUGCCGGUGACAAACCGGAGGAAGGUGGGGAUGACGUCAAGUCAGCAUGGCCUUUAUGUCUGGGGCCACACACGUGCUACAAUGGCCGGUACAAACCGUCGCGAUCCCGCGAGGGGGAGCUAAUCGGAUAAAGCCGGUCUCAGUUCGGAUU
rnacentral:rRNA from 1 species